rnacentral:rRNA from 1 species
CAGGGGGUAGAGCACUGUUAUGGCUAGGGGGACAUGGCGUCUUACCAAACCAUGGCAAACUCCGAAUACUUGGAAGUAAGAGCACGGGAGACAGAGCACCGGGUGCUAACGUCCGGACUCAAGAGGGAAACAACCCAGACCGCCGUUUAAGGUCCCAAAUAUUGACUAAGUGGAAAACGAAGUGUGAAGGCUAAGACAGUCAGGAAGUUGGCUUAGAAGCAGCCAUCCUUCAAAGAAAGCGUAAUAGCUCACUGAUCGAGUCCUCAUGCGCGGAAGAUGUAACGGGGCUAAGUCAAUAACCGAAAGCGCGGAUUUGCACGAUGAGUGCAAGUGGUAGGGGAGCGUUCUGUAAGCCUGCGAAGGUGGUUCGAGAGGACUGCUGGAGGUAUCAGAAGUGCGAAUGCUGACAUGAGUAACGUUAAAGCGGGUGAAAAGCCCGCUCGCCGUAAGCCCAAGGUUUCCUGCUCUACGUUCAUCGGAGCAGGGUGAGUCGGCCCCUAAGGCCAGGCUGAGAAGCGUAGUCGAUGGGAAGCAGAUUAAUAUUUCUGCACCAUGUGCAAGUGCGAUGGGGGGACGGAGUGCGAAAGAUCAUCCGGGUGUUGGAUGUCCCGGUUUGUGAGUGUAGAAGGCCGACAGGCAAAUCCGUCGGCGGAUCUUCGAGACAAGGCAUCGAGGUUCUACGGAACCGAAGUGAUCGGAAGUGCUUCCAGGAAAAGCCUCUAAGCUCCAGCUUGCAUGUGACCGUACCGUAAACCGACACUGGUGGGCGAGUUGAAUAUACUCAGGCGCUUGAGAGAACUCGGGAGAAGGAACUCGGCAAAUUGACACCGUAACUUCGGGAUAAGGUGUGCCUUUGUAGCGUGAAGAGAGAAACACUCGGAGCGUGAAGAGGCCUCAGAGAAUCGGUGGCUGCAACUGUUUAUUAAAAACACAGCACUCUGCAAAGACGAAAGUCGACGUAUAGGGUGUGAUGCCUGCCCGGUGCUGGAAGAUUAAGUGAUGGGGUGAGAGCUCCUGAUCGAAGUCCCAGUAAACGGCGGCCGUAACUAUAACGGUCCUAAGGUAGCGAAAUUCCUUGUCGGGUAAGUUCCGACCUGCACGAAUGGCAUAAUGAUGGCCACACUGUCUCCUCCCGAGACUCAGUGAAGUUGAAAUGUUUGUGAUGAUGCAAUCUCCCCGCGGCUAGACGGGAAGACCCCAUGAACCUUUACUGUAGCUUUGCAUUGGACUUUGAACCGAUUUGUGUAGGAUAGGCGGGAGGCAGAGAAAGCGCAACGCCAGUUGUGCCGGAGCCGACGUUGAAAUACCGCCCUGAUUUGUUUGAGGUUCUAACCGCGACCCGUGAGCCGGGUUCGGGACCGUGCAUGGCAGGCAGUUUGACUGGGGCGGUCUCCUCCUAAAGGGUAACGGAGGAGUACAAAGGUACGCUAGGUACGGUCGGAAAUCGUGCUGAUAGUGCAAAGGCAAAAGCGUGCUUGACUGCGAGACCGACAAGUCGAGCAGAUGCGAAAGCAGGUCUUAGUGAUCCGGUGGCUCUGAAUGGAAGGGCCAUCGCUCAACGGAUAAAAGGUACUCUGGGGAUAACAGGCUGAUACCGCCCAAGAGUUCAUAUCGACGGCGGUGUUUGGCACCUCGAUGUCGGCUCAUCUCAUCCUGGGGCUGUAGCCGGUCCCAAGGGUAUGGCUGUUCGCCAUUUAAAGAGGUACGUGAGCUGGGUUUAAAACGUCGUGAGACAGUUUGGUCCCUAUCUGCCGUGGGCGCUGGAAGAUUGACGGGGGCUGCUCCUAGUACGAGAGGACCGGAGUGGACGCACCUCUGGUGUACCGGUUGUCACGCCAGUGGCAUCGCCGGGUAGCUAUGUGCGGAAGAGAUAACCGCUGAAAGCAUCUAAGCGGGAAACUUGCCUGAAGAUAAGUCUUCCCGGAGGCUAGACCUCCCUGAAGAGUCGUUCGAGACCAGGACGUUGAUAGGUCGGGUGUGUAAGCGUUGUGAGACGUUUAGCUAACCGAUACUAAUUGCUCGUGAGGCUUGAUC